rnacentral:miRNA from 1 species
AACUGAGAUACAUCGGAAUCC